rnacentral:rRNA from 1 species
AACGGAGGGGGCGAGCGUUGUUCGGAGUUACUGGGCGUAAAGCGCACGUAGGCGGUGCGGUAAGUCAGGGGUUAAAGGCUGCAGCUCAACUGCAGUAAGGCCUUUGAUACUAUCGCGCUAGAGUACCAGAGAGGAUGGCGGAAUUCCCGGUGUAGCGGUGAAAUGCGUAGAUAUAUGGAAGAACACCAGUGGCGAAGGCGGCCACCUGGUCAGAAACUGACGCUGAGGUACGAAAGCGUGGGGAGCAAACAGG